GGUGCGGAAUAGCUCAGGGAAACUUGGAGUAAUACCGUAUACGCCCGAAAGGGGAAAGAAUUUCGCUAUAGGAUGGGCCCGCGUAGGAUUAGCUAGUUGGUGAGGUAAUGGCUCACCAAGGCGACGAUCCUUAGCUGGUUUGAGAGAACGACCAGCCACACUGGGACUGAGACACGGCCCAGACUCCUACGGGAGGCAGCAGUGGGGAAUAUUGGACAAUGGGCGCAAGCCUGAUCCAGCCAUGCCGCGUGAGUGAUGAAGGCCCUAGGGUUGUAAAGCUCUUUUGGCGGGGAAGAUAAUGACGGUACCCGGAGAAUAAGUCCCGGCUAACUUCGUGCCAGCAGCCGCGGUAAUACNAAGGGGACUAGCGUUGUUCGGAAUCACUGGGCGUAAAGCGCACGUAGGCNGAUUUGUAAGUCAGGGGUGAAAUCCCGGGGCUCAACCUCGGAACUGCCUUUG
rnacentral:rRNA from 1 species